UCAAAGAAUAUCAAGUCAGUCGCAUUAUCACUGCUCCAGAAGCAGCAUGUCGCAUUCUUAAGAAUUGACUAACAGUUGUCCUAAAACAUCAGGAAAGUGAAAGAAGACGUUAUCAAGUAUUUGAAGUACCAACUCCAACAAGAGAGCGUCAGUAGCUGGCAGUCAGCCUGCGAGUGAGUGAGUGUAGUGAAUGCCCGUCGGAUUUUCAUCCCAAACACAGGCCAGAUCUGUUACAGCUGUUCCAAUCUAUUUCGUGAAAUUCAGGAAAAUCACACUAAACAUUGUCAGGAUAACUCAUCAAAUAAUAGUAACAGCUGUCGUGAAAACUCAAUGUUUACAAGAUGGUGACUAAAUCAUCAAAGUACCUAAUGGUUGAAAUAAUGGCGUAAAAUCCAAGACAACAACUGCUGGACUGCUGAAAUUAUAGGAAAAGUAACAGGACGGAAAGGAAAUUACGUAAAUUAUGGGAAACCAUACAUUACAGGAAUGUCAAUGCAGUAAACACCUCAAUUUAAUUAAUUUCUUAUUGAAUGGACACCGUCUGGUAUUGCCAAAUAUUUUCCAGAUGUGAGGCAUUAGAAGACAUUUCCAAUUUCAAUGGACUUUGUCCACUACAACCAAAAGAGAUAAUUAGGGAAAAAAAACAAAACUAAAAAGAAGAGAAAACAAAGAAAAGGUUACUGGCAGACUUUUCAAUUUUAAUGGACUUUAUACUGUGAUGUUUUAAUGAAUCUUUCACCAUUCCACUUGUCCAGUUCAUAUUACUAAUCUGUUUGAUGGUGGUCCUGAUUAAAAUCAUGGCCUGACAUAAAACAGGAGUGCAAAUGAACAGACAAUCUGUAUUACAAGACACACCUUCCAAAAAUUAGUCCAUUACAACAAGGGUAUACUGUAACAGGUUUUAUUGUA